GAUAAUGUUUCUAUUCUGGGCUGUCUUUGAAACAGUAGUGGGGGGGGAAAAACCGCUGGAAAAGUUUGGGAGAGUGUGACAAACCAAGCUCUUCGAGAGACAAGAAUCGAAUCUCGUUGGGCUCUGUGCCCCAAUUUUGGAUUACGACAUGGACGCUUUGAAGUCGGCUGGAAGGGCAAUAAUUCGGAGCCCCAGUCUCGCUAAACAGUCAUGGGGUGUGGGCAGACACAAAAAGCUGCCAGAGAACUGGACAGACACACGGGAGACCCUGCUGGAGGGCAUGGUGUUCCAGCUCAAGUACCUGGGCGUCACGCUGGUGGAGCAGCCCAAAGGAGAGGAGCUCUCUGCAGCCGCCGUCAAGAGGAUUGUUGCCACGGCCAAAGCCAGUGGCAAGAAACUCCAGAAAGUGACAUUAAAGGUGUCCCCUCGAGGAAUCAUUCUCUACGACUACGCCUCUAACCAGCUGAUUGAGAACAUCUCCAUAUACAGGAUAUCCUACUGCACAGCAGACAAGAUGCACGACAAAGUGUUUGCCUACAUCGCCCAGAGCCAACAGAACGAAACUCUGGAGUGCCAUGCCUACCUCUGCACCAAGAGGAAGGUGGCCCAGGCAGUGACGUUAACAGUGGCCCAGGCCUUCAGAGUGGCGUUUGAGUUCUGGCAGGCCGCCAAAGAAGAGAAGGAGAAACAUGCGAAGUCUGGGUCAGAUGGGGAAGGAGCAAGUAGUAGCCAGUCGGAGAGCUCGUCCAGACUGGGCAGUCUGAAGGGAGGAGAAGUGGCCACAGGGAACCUUCUAGACUUGGCAGAGGGAGCAAACGUGGCGCUGCUGCGCUCGGGGACAAAGGAGAGUGAACCAGAUCCAUUCAUGACGCACAACCACACCACAGAGAACAACAAUACUGUAUGGGUAAGAGAAUGGGGGCUAGAAUAGAACUACUGUAGCUACACAUGCUUAAUAAGAGGGGCGAUGCUUUAUGGAUGAGAGAAUGAAGGCUUGGAGAGCUGUAUGGUUACAUCAAAUGGACAUAGAAUGGCUACCAGUAUACUGUAAGGGAGCUUGAGGAUGGUCUGGAUGAAGCUUUCUCAAGCCGCAGUCUGGAUAGCUUUGAAUCAUACUCAGACUCGCUGAGUCUCGCAAUAACCCCCAGGUCCUGGACAUUGGGGUAAACCCUCAGGACUUCAACACUGAAGAGUGCCUGUCCCCAGCUAACUGGGUCAAAACGGAUGCAGACAACGCCGAAAAAGACUAUAUGUUAGGGUUCUAAGGGUGGAGCCACUGCGGAAGCAAGGCAUCGAGGGGGAGAGAUGGAGAAGGAAAGCGAUAGGGAUGUGGGUGAAAGCAGUAGAGAGGCAGUGACUGUGAGAUGUCUGUGAAAGAAUAGCAGGCCUAGUGGAGUUUGUACAUGAUUUGCCCUGAAAGUCCACUCAGUCUUGCCAUCUUGAGGGAUGUGACUGUUAGCGUGUCUAACUGACCAACCGGGAGGGACCUACUGGAGUCUAGAGCCUCCAGAACUAAGACCAAAGCAAUACAACCAUUUUGUUUUCAUUUCAUUUUAGUCAUCUGGUGUUUGCUACAUUCAAUACCCCAUUAUUCAAUUAGCCUCUGUCUCUACUGACUGGUAGGUUUUUACUGUAUGUAUGUGUGUAUAUACAGUAUACAUAAUCUGACACAAACGGAGCUAUAAUUUAUCACUUGUUGAGCAUUUGGUGAAGGUGCAUUUAAGCGUUAGAGGCAGAAAAUAAUGUGUAUAUUUAAGGUCAACACAUCCAUGGUCAGUGUUUGAGUCUGGGUGAAUGCCACAGUUAUGUUCAUUUUGUUAAUAUAAGUGGAUGGAGGAGUAACUCACUCAGAGGGGAAACUUACUGGUGAUGUAGUCAAAGCCACCAGCUGGAGGGAACUUUGGCCAUGAUGCCAAAUAUAAGAAUAAAGAGUGAGGAUGACCAUCACCUCUGAGCUCAAUGGCUCUAAUAAUUGGGCAAACGGGCUUUAACAAAAUGUACUUGCCACAGGAGGCUGCUGAGGGGAGGAUGGCGCAUAAUGGCUGGAAUGGAGUGAAUGGAACGGUAUCGAACACAUGGAAACCAGGUGUUUGACGUGUUUUCAAUUCCAUUUAUUCCCUUCUAGCCAUUACUACGAGCCUGUCCUCCCCAAUUAAGGUUUCACCGGCCUUCUGUGUUACUUGCAUACAUACAUAAUAUGUGGGUUGUGUGUGUGUGUGUAUAAAGAAUCUUAUUUUUAUUCUAUUGCAAAAUCUAUUUUUGCACUCUCCACUCAUCCCUCUACAAAGCACAUACUUUCAUGUCAUUGAUUGUUAUUAUAAUAACCAUCUAGCUCUUACAUGUACCACUGUAAUAUUGUCUAAUCUGGUUUGUGCUCAUUUUGAUAGUUUACUUGACAGUUUGGAGAUUUCAUUUUGAAGAUAUCAUAUGAGGGUUUGAGUUAAGUUCAAGUCUCUGUGUUAAUAUCGCUGACAUUUUUGAUACAGUUUGAAAUACAUUUUUAUAAUUUCUGGUAUUAUGUUACCUCUGAAUUCAAUAAAAUGUAUGCAUCAGUG